rnacentral:rRNA from 1 species
CAGUAGACGUGUGAAUCAUCGAAUCUUUGAACGCAAUUUGCACCUCGUGGCUUUUGUCACAAGGUAUACUUGUUUGAGUAUCCGAAACAACCUCACCUCCCUCUCGGGGCGAAGUGGACUUGAGAUUCGAUGUGGGCUGCACACUUUACGGUGUGGAGCGCGAGUCGUCUCUUUAAAUGUGUGGCUGACUGUGGGAGGUCUCCGUUGGAGCCUGACAGACUAUUGGGAUAACAUCCUAACGACCGUUUGUCUUGCUCGAUGAUACGUUGACCGACCUUGCCAUGUUCGGAAAGGCCUAGUAGUCGCAAGACUGCGGGGACUAAUCCAUGGUGUUUUGAAGGGUGUGUAUACAUACGUGUGCACACGCUCCAAAUUACUCGUGAAAUGGAUCUCAAAUCAAGUAAGGAUACCCGCUGAACUUAAGCAUAUCAAUAAGCGGAGG